rnacentral:lncRNA from 1 species
UACCUAAACAGUACGCAGGAAUCGUACAGAAAUAUGCUACUGGUAACAUAGCCAGAUCUUUCAUGUCUCAAUGGCUCAAUAGCCAGAAUAAGAAAUAUUAAAAAUGUUUUAUUGUGUAUGAAUUAAUUUUUAACUUACAUUUGUACCUAUUGUUUUGUAUAAUAUAUUUGUUUUAAUAAAAACAGAUUCCGAUGUGAUAUUUGAUCUUUUUUCGUUUUAAAGUCUAGCCAAGAGCCGAUAAACAAACGUUGUGGAAUUCAAGUAUGAUUAAAAAGUUC